AGGGCCACUGUGGACAGCUCAGCCUGGAUCGGAUCACCUCGAGAGUCUAGCGCCCUCUGGUGUGGUUUGGACAUGUUAGAUAUAGCCUGGGCCUUUGCACAGCUUCAUGGCUGAGCCACACCCUGGCCUCCUUGACCUUGUUUUGGGGGACAAAGUCUGGCUAAGUAGUCCAGGCUAGCCCUGACCCAGGUUCCUCCCCCAACCCCCGACUCCUGUGCCCCAAGUGAAGGCUCUAGAAGCAGGAAGGCCACGUGAAGGCCCAGACUCUUCCUUAGAGGUUUUGUGGUGUUAGGGAGAGCGGUUGAGGCUCUCCCAGACGAAUCCUCCCACGAAGCAGCUUUAUCCGGUCCCUGGGCCUCCUGGGAGCCAAGGAGUUAAAGCCAGAAUUCCCAUCCAGACCCGGAGAAAGGAGCCCAGGCCCUAGCUAUGACCCUGCUGCUGACCUCUGCUGGCAGCGGGCUCAGCCAAUGAAGAAGCAUAGCGGGUGCCGAGGAAACGGUUGCCAUGACACCAGAAGCCGCUGGUCUCUGGAAAGGCUGGUCUGAGGGUGAGGGGCUGGGGAAGAGGGGUUGCUUGCUGAGUAACCAUGGCAACUCUGCAGCCUCAGGGCACCCGGGUGCUCACACCCAUUCCCCCUAGAAUACCCAGAAAAGGGCGAUCUCUGCCUUGACUCAGACUGGGAAACUGAGGUUCAUGAACACCUGUCACUUCCUUCUGCCUACUCUGGGUUACAGUCUUGGAAUAAAAACCCACACUUGCAGCAAGAGCCGCAAGCCCUAGUCACCUCCUGUGUCUGCCCCAGCCCAGGCCUGGCAAGGUGGCAGGAAAGGCACCAGACCUGGGGGAAGAGCAUGUUCAAAGGCUCUGAGAACAAGGCUGUGACCCAAGACUGACCCAGAGUGACAAUGACAUGAAGAUCAAGGUGCUGGAGGGCAGAGACUCUGCAGCUAACAGUAUGCAAAGCUCUUACAGAGACUCUGAGUUCAGAGUCCCAGCACUCGUGCUGGGCUGCUCACAACCGCCUGAGACUGGAGCUCUGGCCUUCACAUACCUGCCUCACAGACUGUAAAAAUAAAGUCAACUGAGGGCUAGA